rnacentral:tRNA from 1 species
GAUAAUGAAGUAAAAUCUACAUUUAGUUUCGACCUAAAAAUAAGGAUAAUAUUAAUUUAACCCUUAUCU